rnacentral:rRNA from 1 species
AUCAAAAACAUAGCUUAUUGAAAUUUAUAAUAGGUAAAUUCUGCUCAAUGAUUUAUUUAAAUAGCCGCAGUACCUUGACUGUGCUAAGGUAGCAUAAUAAUUUGUCUUAUAAUUGAAGUCUAGAAUGAAUGGAAUUAUUGGGUAAAAUCUGUCUAAAUUUAAUUAAAUUUAAUUUUUUUAAUAAGUGAAAAUACUUAUAUAAUUAUGAAAGACGAGAAGACCCUAGAAAUUUUAAUUAAUUAUAAUAGUAAUAAUUAUAUAUAUUUUUGUUGGGGCGACAGAAUUACAAAAAUUAACUUAUUUUAUUUUUUUUUGUUAAUGAAAAAAGACUUUUUGAUUAAAUAUAAAUUACUCUAGGGAUAACAGCAUAAUUUAUAAAUAAGUUUGUGACCUCGAUGUUGGAUUAAGAAAUAUAUAUAUUAAAAGUAUAUAUAAUUGGUUCUGUUCGAACUUAAUUUCUUACAUGAUCU